CAGAGGCGCCGCCCGGUGUUGCGCCGAAAUGGCGGCGAAGACGCGUGCGGUGGGGCCAGGCCGCUGGCGAAGUUGUCAAACGCGUCGGUUCGGUUUUAGAAAUGGUCGGCGUGCAAACCGGCUUGAAGCCUCUUUAGUUAAUUAAAACCGGCCGGCAUCAGGUCUUCCCUUCUCGUUGAUUAAUUACGUUGUGAUGGAUCAAGAAAGUCCUAAAAAAUCUUUUCGGAUGGGUCUAGUGGUUAGCGCAUGAGAUGUUAACAUCAUGAGAUCUGAGGACGGAUUGAUGAAAACGUUGGAGGCGAACGUAUUCGCCUUUUGCCACCAAAAAAACCCUAAAAGGUACUAGCUCUGCGUUCACUGAUCUGUUGAUUUGGAUCGGCUGCACAUGAUCUGUUUGAUUGCAGUGGAAAGGAUUCUGUUGAGAUUUGACCAUCUGAAGAAACUGACAGUGAAAGAUAUUUGAGCAACAUACCUAUGAACUUCUUUGA